rnacentral:rRNA from 1 species
UACGGGAGGCAGCAGUGGGGAAUAUUGCACAAUGGGCGCAAGCCUGAUGCAGCCAUGCCGCGUGUAUGAAGAAGGCCUUCGGGUUGUAAAGUACUUUCAGUCGUGAGGAAGGUGUUAAGGUUAAUAACCUUAGCAAUUGACGUUAGCGACAGAAGAAGCACCGGCUAACUCCGUGCCAGCAGCCGCGGUAAUACGGAGGGUGCGAGCGUUAAUCGGAAUUACUGGGCGUAAAGGGCACGCAGGCGGUUAAUUAAGUUGGAUGUGAAAUCCCCGGGCUUAACCUGGGAAUGGCAUUCAAGACUGGUUAGCUAGAGUCUUGUAGAGGGGGUAGAAUUCCGAUGUGUAGCGGUGAAAUGCGUAGAGAUGUGGAGGAAUACCGGUGGCGAAGGCGGCCCCUGGGACAAAGGCUGACGCUCAUGUGCGAAAGCGUGGGGAGCAAACG